AGCAUCAACAAAUAUUACAUUUUUAUAAACAUAUUAAAGGUACGAUAUAUUACAACCAUAGAUUGAAGAAAACUUAAUAGUGCAAGUUAAUCCUUUGCUAAGAGUUAAAUAUAAACCAGUCCGAGGUAAGUAAUUAAACAUCUAAGUUUAUUCUAGAGUAUCAUGAGACUCAUAAGAUACCCUAAAUCUUCGGGGCUUCCUCUUCGGUGGGUCCCUGCUGGGUUUCUGAAAACAACAACAAGGAUCCCCUGAGUACGAAGUACUCAGCAAGUCUGACCCAUCUAACCAAUAUAAUAGCUUUUCUGGAACUGUAUGAAAGUUGUUUAGUGUACCGGCUGACUCAUUUUUUGCCGAAAGAGCUUACUAAAAGUGAAACCUUAACUUUGUCUUUUAUUUCAAUUGAGUUAUUACUUAACCAGUUUAGGUGAUGAAAAAGAAAUACCUUUGCAACAAUAGGAAAUUAAGUCAUACAACAAAUUAAUUUGGAAAGACAUUGCAUUCAUGAGAUUACACUACGAUGCUCAACAGUGAUCAAGUGCAUUCAUAACCGAGAAUUGCGGCGAUCCGGAUCAAUUUGCAUCCUGCAGGAGAGUACCCUGAUCACCAGCCAUAUACGACUGUACAGGUCGUACGUAACGACUUUUUGAUUAGCAAAUCCAAUGAUUGGGAAUAAGACUACCCGGACCCAGGGACGCACCCCCACAUGGGACCCCACGUCUGGCCCGAUCACCAUGUGAGUUUCAGGCUACGCCCCUGCCAAUCUCCAGCACGUCAAGCGCGGGUACGAAGUAUUCCCGAUCAGAGGGUUUACUAACCUACUGGGCUUUACUGGUCCCAUACCCAGUAAGUGAUCAGAUGUCUUUCACUUGAUCAAAGGUUAAGACAACGAAUCGGACCUUAACCAGAUUAGACUAGCAGACAGAACUACAUCCUUAGCUUCUGUCCGCUUCUUAAAUUCCAAGUCAUCUUUCCAUAAUUAACAUGCAUGACUCAAUAUUUACCUUAAGGUUUGGUAAACCAAGUAUUUAAGCAACUAAGCAAUUUUAGACUUGGGUUAUCUACUAAAGGUUUGAACAAGUGGCAAAUAUGUCCUUAAAACAAGGUAUGAUAAUGCACAAGGAUGGGUUUCAAGCAACUCCUAGACUUAGUGCAUACAUAUAGCAAAUAACCGAUAAUGGACACAUGAAAUAUCGACUCCAAAAUAAUGGGUAUAAUGCACCGGGGCUUGCCUGGGAUCAACAAAGGUUAGUUCUUCGGAAAACCUCUUUAGUAAAAGAGGCACUUCACAUUUCGCGAACGCUGUCCAUCUCCAGCUGAAUUCCACGAAUUCCACUUCAGGAGUUGUGACGUCUAUGAUUCAGUAUAUGCAAGAGUUAGAGAUGCAAACUUUUGAAUACAAGACUAUACAACUUUCCUUCAUGAUAAAGUUGCAAGCCAACAGUGACUACACAAUUUAUCAUGAUAAAGUUGCAAGCCGACACACAAAAACCCGAAAAGAUUAACCCACCAUUUUUAUUUUCUUUACUAAUCCUACGUGAGACCUUUUCUUUUAUUUUUAAAAGCAUUAUAAUAAUUUUCUAAUCUCAAAACUUAUUUCCUAUGACUUAAUAAUGAUUUGUGGAUAAUAAAGCAUUUUUCAAGUUUUAUACAUUUAAUAAUGUUUAAGCAUUUAUUUAAAUACCUUAACUAAAAAGGCAUUAAAUAAAUACCUAAAUUUUUAUUAUUUUUCCUAGGGUUUAAGAUUUUUAAUGCAUAAAGGAAAAUAAAACAAUCCUAAUAAAAUUGGUUUCACUAAUUUUGGGCACUUCUACAAUUUCCUGUGAAUUAAAUGGUGAAAACCGGAUUUAAUCUAUUUAGCUAAUAAAAGAAAAACCUAAAGUUUAUUCAAAACCCCGGUUCAAACUUUUCUUACCCAGCCUUCUUCUACCCACCAUCACUUCCACCUAGGGCCCGCAAACUGGUCUCUUUACAAGCAAAAAGGCCCACCCGGCC
rnacentral:lncRNA from 1 species